rnacentral:ribozyme from 1 species
AUAUAAGUUCCAAUGGCCAUAGCAGAAGUGCUCAUGUCGUGGCCCUGCUGGAUUCUAACAAAUCUGCAAUUCUGCU